rnacentral:lncRNA from 1 species
GAGUUCGGAAGAACAAAGCUAAAUCAACAGGGGACAUUCUAAAAUUCCUGAUUGAAUACGCCUGCUAAUGAUAAGAGGUCUCUCACCCACAUUAUUGAUAGCGAAAAACAGCAAUAAAAGGUCGAGAAAUUUUAGAAGAGUCAGCCAGUUCCGAGAGUCAAACAGGAAGAGUCGCUCAAGGGUCGUCGAACAGACCAGACGUAUCCGCAAGUCACUCCGAGGUCUCCACACAGACCAGACAUCUCUGGGCUCUGCUCUCAGACUCUGGACAGAAAAUGGGAAAAAUGUAGCAGAGUGAUUCCGUGUCCCAUCCUGUUGGGAAUAUCUGAC